CAAGACAACUUUACGGAGUUGACGAUUGACGGAGCGAAGCGACGUCAAAGCGUUCAUUAAAGUCGAGUUGGCUUAGGGAUACGUUCGUUGGGUAGGGGAGCGUUCUGUAAGCCUGUGAAGGUGUGUCGUGAGGCAUGCUGGAGGUAUCAGAAGUGCGAAUGCUGACAUAAGUAACGAUAAAGCGGGUGAAAAGCCCGCUCGCCGGAAGACCAAGGGUUCCUGUCCAACGUUAAUCGGGGCAGGGUGAGUCGACCCCUAAGGCGAGGCCGAAAGGCGUAGUCGAUGGGAAACGGGUUAAUAUUCCCGUACUUGGUGUUACUGCGAAGGGGGGACGGAGAAGGCUAUGUUGGCCGGGCGACGGUUGUCCCGGUUUAAGCGUGUAGGUGUGUGUUCCAGGUAAAUCCGGUUCACUUUAACACUGAGGCGUGACGACGAGGCACUACGGUGCUGAAGCAACAAAUGCCCUGCUUCCAGGAAAAGCCUCUAAGCAUCAGGUAACACGAAAUCGUACCCCAAACCGACACAGGUGGUCAGGUAGAGAAUACCAAGGCGCUUGAGAGAACUCGGGUGAAGGAACUAGGCAAAAUGGUGCCGUAACUUCGGGAGAAGGCACGCUGACACGUAGGUGAAGUGAUUUACUCAUGGAGCUGAAGUCAGUCGAAGAUACCAGCUGGCUGCAACUGUUUAUUAAAAACACAGCACUGUGCAAACACGAAAGUGGACGUAUACGGUGUGACGCCUGCCCGGUGCCGGAAGGUUAAUUGAUGGGGUCAGCGCAAGCGAAGCUCCUGAUCGAAGCCCCGGUAAACGGCGGCCGUAACUAUAACGGUCCUAAGGUAGCGAAAUUCCUUGUCGGGUAAGUUCCGACCUGCACGAAUGGCGUAAUGAUGGCCAGGCUGUCUCCACCCGAGACUCAGUGAAAUUGAACUCGCUGUGAAGAUGCAGUGUACCCGCGGCAAGACGGAAAGACCCCGUGAACCUUUACUAUAGCUUGACACUGAACAUUGAGCCUUGAUGUGUAGGAUAGGUGGGAGGCUUUGAAGUGUGGACGCCAGUCUGCAUGGAGCCGACCUUGAAAUACCACCCUUUAAUGUUUGAUGUUCUAACGUGGACCCGUAAUCCGGGUUGCGGACAGUGUCUGGUGGGUAGUUUGACUGGGGCGGUCUCCUCCUAAAGAGUAACGGAGGAGCACGAAGGUUGGCUAAUCCUGGUCGGACAUCAGGAGGUUAGUGCAAUGGCAUAAGCCAGCUUGACUGCGAGCGUGACGGCGCGAGCAGGUGCGAAAGCAGGUCAUAGUGAUCCGGUGGUUCUGAAUGGAAGGGCCAUCGCUCAACGGAUAAAAGGUACUCCGGGGAUAACAGGCUGAUACCGCCCAAGAGUUCAUAUCGACGGCGGUGUUUGGCACCUCGAUGUCGGCUCAUCACAUCCUGGGGCUGAAGUAGGUCCCAAGGGUAUGGCUGUUCGCCAUUUAAAGUGGUACGCGAGCUGGGUUUAGAACGUCGUGAGACAGUUCGGUCCCUAUCUGCCGUGGGCGCUGGAGAACUGAGGGGGGCUGCUCCUAGUACGAGAGGACCGGAGUGGACGCAUCACUGGUGUUCG
rnacentral:rRNA from 1 species